CUUGAGAGCGGCGGACGGGUGAGUAAUGCCUAGGAAUCUGCCUGGUAGUGGGGGAUAACGUUCGGAAACGGACGCUAAUACCGCAUACGUCCUACGGGAGAAAGCAGGGGACCUUCGGGCCUUGCGCUAUCAGAUGAGCCUAGGUCGGAUUAGCUAGUUGGUGGGGUAAUGGCUCACCAAGGCGACGAUCCGUAACUGGUCUGAGAGGAUGAUCAGUCACACUGGAACUGAGACACGGUCCAGACUCCUACGGGAGGCAGCAGUGGGGAAUAUUGGACAAUGGGCGAAAGCCUGAUCCAGCCAUGCCGCGUGUGUGAAGAAGGUCUUCGGAUUGUAAAGCACUUUAAGUUGGGAGGAAGGGUUGUAGAUUAAUACUCUGCAAUUUUGACGUUACCGACAGAAUAAGCACCGGCUAACUCUGUGCCAGCAGCCGCGGUAAUACAGAGGGUGCAAGCGUUAAUCGGAAUUACUGGGCGUAAAGCGCGCGUAGGUGGUUUGUUAAGUUGGAUGUGAAAUCCCCGGGCUCAACCUGGGAACUGCAUUCAAAACUGACUGACUAGAGUAUGGUAGAGGGUGGUGGAAUUUCCUGUGUAGCGGUGAAAUGCGUAGAUAUAGGAAGGAACACCAGUGGCGAAGGCGACCACCUGGACUAAUACUGACACUGAGGUGCGAAAGCGUGGGGAGCAAACAGGAUUAGAUACCCUGGUAGUCCACGCCGUAAACGAUGUCAACUAGCCGUUGGAAGCCUUGAGCUUUUAGUGGCGCAGCUAACGCAUUAAGUUGACCGCCUGGGGAGUACAGCCGCAGAUAAACUCAAAUGAUUGACGG
rnacentral:rRNA from 1 species